UAUAAAUUAAUCACAGUAAAAAAAAAAAAUCACCACCCUCGGUAAUAAUUACAAGAAAUUUCAGGUUUCUUCAGGUUUCAGUGAAUCCUAUGUAGUGGUUAAGCUUCUUUUCCAAAAAGUGUCCCUUUAAAUAGAUAGGAGGAGCACAC